rnacentral:lncRNA from 1 species
CCAAAGUUGCUUUCUCUUUUGACCACUAGGACACAACCAAAAUAACAAGAAACAAAAUCAUUAGGCAUGACCAACUCCAACGUCACAAAAUUCAUCAUCAUUCAACUCCUAUACACUAACAAAUCCACAAAAAUUUCCCACAUUAAUUUGAAUUAAUUUCCCAACAUAGAAUACAUCAAUUUUUUGAACAUAUUCAUAUGUCCAUAUAUCCAACAACAGCUAUACUUCCCCCACAGAGAAAGAAAGAUGUUACAACAGAUUUUUCACAUAAGCUCCCAAAUGCCUUCUUCCACCACCAUUCAUUCCUCUGGCUUUAUCAGAAUGGCUUAUCAGAAAUCAAUGAAUGAAGCCGAAAAGGAAGCUGGAUCGAGGAUGACAAACAAAGGAAGAAGAAGAGUCAGUUUCCUCUUUCUCUGUGUCUCUUCAUCUCUUCUCUA